CGGCGAGGAGCCUACCAUGCGCUUCCCCGUGCGGAUGGGGAGAGCCCGGCCACGGGCGAGCUGGACCCGGCUCUGAUCAUUUAUGAUCCUGGGCGCCUCCGCUCCGCCACUUGUCAAGGUGACAGGCUGGCCUCUCGGGCGAGGCUGAAAGCGCCAGUGACCUGGGCGCGCUGCGCGGGGCUCCGCACCCCGGGACCCCGGGAGCCCCGACCCGGCGGCGGCGGCGGAGCAGCCCCGGGACCUCCCCCCCCCCCCCCCNCACCGGCGGGGGGACGGCUCCUGGAGGGAGGCCUCUAAAGGCUCCGCACCCCGCAUCCUCCCACCCCCACGCAGAUGAGCAGCCCCACGCAGCCCCGGCCUCCACUUUGCGGUGGGAGGGAAAGGAAAGUUUACUGCUCUCCGCAGGAUCACUGCCGCUUUCUACCCACUUAAGUUCCCUGCAACACCCUCGCUCCCGACUCCCCAGCGCCGGGCUCCCGGGCCUGCGGGAAGCCCGCCCGGGGCAGAGGCAGCUCCGGCAGCGGGGCGCUCUGGACACCCGGUCCGCGACCUUGGCGCAGCCGCUCCCGGACCUUCGCCCCCUGGAACCUGCUCCGCACCCACCGCAGCGGGGCUGGGGCGAGCGCGCUCGCGGCGCCCUCCCGGAGCCCUAGCCCCCC
rnacentral:lncRNA from 1 species